UUAGGGACCGUCUCCGGACUAAUGAAAUGAACCUGGGACAAAGAGAGAGAGAGUUGGACUUUGACCCCCUCCUGACCUCAAUGAAAUGAGAACAACACGGAACCAGAACUGAUUUCGUCCUCGGCCUUCAGACUGUGGUGAAUUCAAGAGCAGAGGACGCACAAACGGGUGAGAGACACUGUUGGACCACUGUAGGACACCAUAUGUACAUACUCGUAUACAUAAAAAUGGACGCCGUCUUCCAGUUGGGAAACUAAAAGCCAAGGAAGUCGGAUGGGAAAAGCUGUGACGCACCAGCGGCGACUUCGCAGGUUGCAAAAAGAAUGGAAAUGGCCAUAUUGGACACCGUGAGUGUGAGAGUG